CAAGUAAUUCAUCUAAACAUGCUUAUCCUAAGCUAACACAUGUUAAAUUGCAUUUAGAAUAGGUAAAUUCGCAAGAAAGCACAAUUGAAUAUUCUAAGUAAAAUGGAUUUUCCAACAACUAGAACCAGUACACGCUCUCCUCCUCGCGUACCGAGCAUUUAAAAUAACAAAUAAUAGAUCCUAAGGGGAUAGUUCCCUCACACCAAGUUAGACAAGUCACUAACCUCGAACCGGUGCAAAAAUCACUAAGGAACGAUGCCCUUACCACGAGUAUCCGACUCCGAAUGGCCCAAACCUAUUCAAACCAAUUACAUAAUAUAAAUAACAUCGCAAUGUAACUAAUUUCUCUAUUAAAAUUAAAGCUAAGUCGUGAAAAUGGGUAAAAUAACCAAAAUGCCCCUCAGUCCAAUGGCUCGGAAUCGAAUAAUUUUCACAUUUUUAGAAAACUCACACUCCCAUGAGUCUAACCAUACCAAAAUCUCCGAAAUUAGAGGUCAAUUGGCC
rnacentral:lncRNA from 1 species